GGAGGAGAAAGUACUUCAAGUAUCUUAGAAGAAUUUCAAACUGGAAAGGAUUAACAUUUUAAGAGUUUGUUGCUUAAAAGAGAGAACUUUAACAUCUGAAAAAUUCCUUUGUGGAUUUCCUGAAUACCAGAUGAAUGGAGCGUGAAUGGAGCGUGAGGGGAGCUCCUCCACGGCCCGCACCCUAUCCCUCCUUGCCUCUCUUGAGGCUGUGCUGCUGUGUUUAUGGCGCUGCCG
rnacentral:lncRNA from 10 species